rnacentral:rRNA from 1 species
CGUAGGGUCCAAGCGUUAUCCGGAAUCACUGGGCGUAAAGCGUUUGUAGGCGGAAAUUUAAGUGAGAUGCGAAAUCUUGUGGCUCAACCAUAUAGACGGUAUCUCAUACUGGGUUUCUAGAAGAUAGCAGAGGUAAGUGGAAUUAGUAGUGUAGCGGUAAAAUGCGUAGAUAUUACUAGGAACACCAAUGGCGAAGGCAGCUUACUGGGCUAUAUUUGACGCUGAGAAACGAAAGCGUGGGGAGCGAACAGGAUUAGAUACCCUGGUAGUCCACGCCGUAAACGAUGUGUGCUAUUAGUUCGAGGUAUCGACCCCUUGGGCUGAACAGCUAACGCGUUAAGCACACCGCCUGGGGAGUACGAGCGCAAGCUUA